rnacentral:lncRNA from 1 species
GAAGGGAUGGGGAUAGGAAAAGAAAAAGAGUGANCACUUUGACAGAAUUUCAGUGGGUGAUGUAUAUGCAGAAUCAGUAACUUGGAGCUAUAGAGAUGGCUUCUUGUCCUUGGCUCUGUUUCAACUGUCUGUCUUCUCCAAUCUGCUUUUCAUCCUCCAUGUUUAAGUGAGUAGGUGAGUUUUCAUGUCCAAACUGAGAGAGCAUGUCUGAGGAUUGAUUACUCAGGAAAUUGGGCCCCCCUCUCUAGCUCUCUAAUUUACAGAAUUCACCUUAGGAAUGAUGGGGAAGUGUUACAACAAACUGAUUUAAGAUUUACAUGAAUAAAAAGAUUCAAUAAAUAGAUGAAAUGUAAUAAGGAUGAAUAGAAAUCUUCGCAUUUGGGUUUUAAAAACUCAGUGCAUGUGUAAGAAGGGAAGCUAUGUUCAAAUAUGACUGAGUAUUUGGGAGUUUUAAUAAUAAAUGCUAUGUAAGUCAGUGUCAGUCUGCUUUGGCUUCUGUAACAAAAUCCAAU